rnacentral:lncRNA from 10 species
UGUAUAACAUAUAUAUGUCCAUAUAUAUGUAUAACCAAACCACAGGUGUUUUUUUGGAAGUCAUAUUAUACAGGGAGUUGACAGAGGUGUGAGCUGGACUUUAAGAAGCUGCACAUAAGAUGCUAGUAUGAUCAAGCUGGAAUGGACUUAGACAAUUUGAAACAACUUUUCUCAGUUUUCAGAUGAGGAAACUGACGGGUACCAAGCUUAAAUGACUUGACGAAGCUCAUAGAAGAUUAGCAGGUAGUAGAAUAAUGACUGCUGACUCCUAAUUCAGUGGAUCUUCCCUGGCCACCGUUUUGUAUUGAGCUGCAAUGCUUCCUUGACUGUUCUCCAUGCCAGAUUCUUAUCAAUGAUCUUUCACCUAAGAAACAGCAAAGAUUCUGGCAAGCACACGAUCUAGAGAUACAUCUUAUUGCGAUUUUUCACAAAAAUCAAAAGAAGAAAGAAGGCUUAGCUGGUGUUUAAUUAUUGUUAUUUUUUUCAAUAGGGAAAUCUGUACACAAUGAUUUAUCUCCAGUGAUUUGCCAUUGAUCAAUUUUUUUCUCAUUUCAUUUUCUAUUUUUUUGUUUUUUGUUUUUCUUUAUUUUUUAUUUUUUUCUCCUUUUUCUUUUUUUAAAUUUUCUGUUUAUCACAAAUGAUCAUGUAAUUAUAUGUUAAUACUAUGUAACCCCAGUGUUUUCAACUGUUUGUGAUUCAAUGUUACCCAGUUUUCUUUUCUUAAUUUUAAAUAAAUUUGAAAAAUUAUCUUAGAGUGUUUUGAGCCUGUGUUGGUACAUUUAGUUCUAGUUCAUUGUGGUAAAUCCACUUCAGUUUCUAAGUUUCCACCCUUUAGUAAAGACAUAUUUCUAAAUUUGGUUUAUAUCCUCAGUUACAAAAGAUUCUAACUGCUAGUUUUGUGACAGCAAUCACACAUACCAUCAAGGGAUGGGGCAGGCAGUUUUGGAAUGUGCUGAUGCUAGCAUUUUUAUAAGCCUAUGGCUUUUAUAGUCUAAAUUGUUCUUAUUUCUAUUAAUGCUUCAAUUUUUGACAAACACACAACCAUAGAAACAAAUAAUAAAUUUGUUUUUUGGGAAUUAUCCAGGAUUCUUGGUUAAGUGGGGAAUUUAGGCUUUGACAGCAUAAAGGAUCACGGAUAAGUAUUUUUCACGGUGGCUCUAAUUAUAAUGCUGAGCAUGUGGCAGGCACAGAAAUAUUUACUCAUUGACUGAAUAUAGCACAUCGUAAUGUUGAUUUUUUUCCAACAUAAUUUUAGAGCUAGGCAUAUUGUAUUCUAUUACACUAGACUAUAUAUCAUUCUUAAAUAGAACCAGCCUUGCUAGAUAACACAUGUUGGAGGAGAGGCCCUUCUUCUUAGCCCUCAGUGUUUCCAUCUAUGGGGAAGAAGUUCCACCAUACUAACAUUACUAUCGUCUCUCCACCUGCUCACUCACUUCUCCCCAAGGGAGGGGUGUUCGAUAUGGUUUCUGAGCUUGGAAAGAAAACUCAGGCAUGUGUAACAUGGUUCCUUCAGUCCCAUGACCCACUGUCCACAAAUGGGCUGCUCACAGAGUGCAUGCCUUCACCCUUGUUCCUGGCCAUGCAGGAAAUUGUAUGAAACAGUCCUAGCUGAAGCCUGAGAUUUUCCUGCAUUGCCUAGUCCUGGUGGGUAUCUGUCUACUCCUGGAGUUUGGAUUGGAAAGUCCACAUGCCUGAAGGUAUAAACCUAUUCUACAAAGGGGUGUUUUCUAGAAUGAAGGUAAUAUUUUUAUCUUACAUUUGCAGAAAGAGACAGAACAAUGUUAUAGGUGAGUGCAUGGACAAUGACCUCAAACAGCUAAGAUUCAAACCCCUGCGUUGAAUGAUUGAAUUGAAAUGAUUCAAUGAGCUAAUGUACAUAAAGCAUCCAGAAUGUUGCCUGGCACAAGGACUGUAUUGUCUGCUAGACCAUUUAUUCAAAGUGGGAGGAUGAUGUUCUAAAAGCCAAUGAUAAAGCUCAUGGCAAUGCAGGGUAUAUCUGAUGGCAUGGAAUGCUUUAGGAUGGCCAAGAUUGCCCAUCAAAUGCCAAGUCACCGAAGUUAUUAAUGGCUCUCCUACUAGGAGCCUGACAUCAUGGUGAGCAUCGAGAAAGGAAUAACCUAAGCUGAAGACACGCCUUUUCAGGAGGCCAAGUUCCACGUUCUGCCAGGCACUACUCUGUCCCAACAAUAAGCCCUGUACAUUGGGAAAGGUGCCGAGACAUGAACUUUGGUCUUCUCUGCAAUCCAUCUGGAGCAUUCACUGACAACAUCGACUUUGAAGUUGCACUGACCUGGCCAGCCCUGCCACUUACCAGGUUGGGCUCUUGAGUUUCUGCUUUCAAGUGACCCUCAGAAAUUCCUCCAUUCACUGCAGAGGUUCUGUUUCUCCUUGCUUUGUUCUGACUUUACGGCAGAACUAAGCUAAUGAGUUAGUUACUAUGGGUUAUCACUUGGAUUUGAAGAACCAUCAUUUCUAGGCAUUGCUGCUCAGAGUGGGUCUGCCCUCAGGGGAAGCUGUCUAACCAGAGCCUAACCCACUAGGGUUUUAUCAGAACCUAACUGACCUGAGGAAAAGAAAUACUCAACUCCAGCAAGCUCCAGCCUUCCAAAUGGAGGAGGAGAAAACCCAACUCCAGCCCACUUCAGCUAUCUUGUCCCACAUAAAGGGGAAGUGGAAGAAACCUGAGAAGCAGGCAUGAAGUUCAC